rnacentral:rRNA from 1 species
GGAUUAGAUACCCUGGUAGUCCACGCAGUAAACGAUGAGUGCUAAAGGCUAGGAAUUCAAUUUUUAGUCUUGCAGCUAACGCGUUAAGCACUCCGCCUGGGGAGUACGAUCGCAAGGUUGAAACUUAAAGGAAUUGACGGGGGCCCGCACAAGCGGUGGAGCAUGCGGUUUAAUUCGAUGCUACGCGAAAAACCUUACCAACCCUUGACAUGCAAAUUUUGAAUUAUGGAGACAUAAUUCUUCAGUUCGGCUGGGUUUGCACAGGUGUUGCAUGGCUGUCGUCAGCUCGUGCCG